CGUUCUCAGUCGUGCUGCAACCAACCCCCACCUUUACCUCUCCCAUCUUCCUUCCUUUCCUAACAUGAUUUCUUCUUCUUCACUCAUCCCAUUUUCCUAGCUCACAAACAAUGUCUCUUACACCACUGAUGUUCCGGUCACUAAUGAGGCUGCUGGCGGCGCUAGUACACCAGCCAGCGGCCGCGGUCACCACCCUCCUCUACUACAGCGAUCUCCUCCCUCGACACCUCAACUUGGAGCGUCUGGUCCGCCGUGAGUUUCUCGAUCGAGACAACUAUCUGUUCCAUUUCCUCAUCAACGUUUUGAGAUGCUUCUGAGUCGAUGGGAUCGCAUCGGAUCGAUGUUUUUCUGCAGUUUUAACAUCGAUGAAUCGGCAAGUUUGGUCUAUAUGAAUUAACAUGAUCAGAGAUUUUCAUGUCUGGAGUAGAGUGUAUGAUUUCUUGUGGUCAUUUCCUUUUUUGAGAUGGAGAGUUGUAGUUUGAUAUAUAUAUAUAUAUAUAUAUAUAUAUACCAUGGAGAGCAUCAUAACAAGGAGGCGAUGGAGGCAGAUAGGGUCAGGGUUUUUCUUCUUCUUCAAUUUUUUUUUUUUUUUUUGAAGAUUGUAGUGUUAUGGGGUUUAGUUGUAUGUGCCCAAAAAAAUAAAAAGUAAAAGAAAAUGGAAUCAUUUCCAUAUUCCAUGGAUACAUAUUUCAUUAUGAGGGGUUAUGCAAAUAGUAUUUUGGACUAAUGAAGGAGAUUAAUUGGUGCAUUUGCAUCUUCAUUUGA